rnacentral:rRNA from 1 species
UGCCCAUCAGAAGGGGAUAACACUUGGAAACAGGUGCUAAUACCGUAUAACAAUCGAAACCGCAUGGUUUUGAUUUGAAAGGCGCUUUCGGGUGUCGCUGAUGGAUGGACCCGCGGUGCAUUAGCUAGUUGGUGAGGUAACGGCUCACCAAGGCCACGAUGCAUAGCCGACCUGAGAGGGUGAUCGGCCACAUUGGGACUGAGACACGGCCCAAACUCCUACGGGAGGCAGCAGUAGGGAAUCUUCGGCAAUGGACGAAAGUCUGACCGAGCAACGCCGCGUGAGUGAAGAAGGUUUUCGGAUCGUAAAACUCUGUUGUUAGAGAAGAACAAGGAUGAGAGUAACUGUUCAUCCCUUGACGGUAUCUAACCAGAAAGCCACGGCUAACUACGUGCCAGCAGCCGCGGUAAUACGUAGGUGGCAAGCGUUGUCCGGAUUUAUUGGGCGUAAAGCGAGCGCAGGCGGUUUCUUAAGUCUGAUGUGAAAGCCCCCGGCUCAACCGGGGAGGGUCAUUGGAAACUGGGAGACUUGAGUGCAGAAGAGGAGAGUGGAAUUCCAUGUGUAGCGGUGAAAUGCGUAGAUAUAUGGAGGAACACCAGUGGCGAAGGCGGCUCUCUGGUCUGUAACUGACGCUGAGGCUCGAAAGCGUGGGGAGCAAACAGGAUUAGAUACCCUGGUAGUCCACGCCGUAAACGAUGAGUGCUAAGUGUUGGAGGGUUUCCGCCCUUCAGUGCUGCAGCUAACGCAUUAAGCACUCCGCCUGGGGAGUACGACCGCAAGGUUGAAACUCAAAGGAAUUGACGGGGGCCCGCACAAGCGGUGGAGCAUGUGGUUUAAUUCGAAGCAACGCGAAGAACCUUACCAGGUCUUGACAUCCUUUGACCACUCUAGAGAUAGAGCUUCCCCUUCGGGGGCAAAGUGACAGGUGGUGCAUGGUUGUCGUCAGCUCGUGUCGUGAGAUGUUGGGUUAAGUCCCGCAACGAGCGCAACCCUUAUUGUUAGUUGCCAUCAUUCAGUUGGGCACUCUAGCAAGACUGCCGGUGACAAACCGGAGGAAGGUGGGGAUGACGUCAAAUCAUCAUGCCCCUUAUGACCUGGGCUACACACGUGCUACAAUGGGAAGUACAACGAGUUGCGAAGUCGCGAGGCUAAGCUAAUCUCUUAAAGCUUCUCUCAGUUCGGAUUGCAGGCUGCAACUCGCCUGCAUGAAGCCGGAAUCGCUAGUAAUCGCGGAUCAGCACGCCGCGGUGAAUACGUUCCCGGGCCUUGUACACACCGCC